rnacentral:lncRNA from 1 species
UGGGGACAGCAGGUGGGAGCUUUCUAAGCCAGACAAAGGAGACCUGAGAAGGAACUGUGGUGAAGGGACAAGCCCAAGGCAAAGGACUGUCCGGCCACCUCCUCUCCUGGAGCAGGCAGCUGAGAUCUGCAUAGCCAGGAGACAUUUUGCAAGACUCAACACCUGGAGCAGUGCUAACCAGGUGGGCAGCCCCGAUGUCAUCCAAGCUCUACGUCCUCAUCAGCUGGCCCGACGGCAGCCGUGUCAUCAACAUCGAGAACAUCAAGGAGCCCCGCAAGCCCUUCCAUCUCUACACGGUGGGCGAGCAGGUGCUGGCCCGCUGCCCCGGCUUCAGCGGGCUCUACUGGGGCAUGGUGGAGGGCAUCAGUGAGCACAAAGAUGUCCUGGAGAAGAAGCUGCAGGAAGACAGACAGCUCCUGGGGACGUUAAAAGAUGAACCGGCCAACCACAGCAUGAUGCCACCUCAGGCAAAAAAAUCCAGGAAAACCUUCCCAAAAUGGACCCCAGGGAAUGCCUCCAGGAAAUACGGGGACCGGAGUUACCCCAGCAAGCCGCUGCUGCGGGCAGCCGAGGCCAGCCUGCCCGGUGAUGUUGGCAGCUCCUCCAUCAUCAAGGAGAGACGUGCCCUGGGGCCACCCCACCCAGCCAGUGCCUUCACCCCCCCGGCCCCUUUCGUCACCCUUGCUGUGCCAGGGACAUCCCAGGGUGAAGAGGACAGGGCUGGCACCGCUACCAGAGAUUACGUUGCCCUGGCAAUGAAGAGGAAGUCAGAUGGCAUCUUGUCCCAGUGCCAGCAACACGUCUGUCUGAACAGCUGUGAAGAACGAAAGCUGGAUGCUUUGCAAGAGACGGAUGACUUUGAGAGAGUUCAGAAAAAAUUCGGUCCUGGUGAAAUGGAAAGGGAGAAGGUAGAGCAGCUGGAGAGGAUGGUCUUGGACCUGCAGCAGGACGUCCUCUCUCUGAAGAAGAAGGUGCAGCGGCUGGAAUCCCUCUCCUUCCAGGAGGAGCCCCACCGGCCGCCCUGCGAGGUGGUGGAGCUCUUCAACGGCUACACCAAGGAACAGCUCAAAGAGGCCAUCCGUUUCGACCAGAAAAUCAGCACGGCCUGCAAGACUCUGCUCUACAAGCUCUUCACCUCCGACUACAUCCAGAGCCACUCCAUCACGGGGCGGAGGGGCAACACGUUCCGGGAGGCGAAGCCCAUGAUGGACGAACGCUGCAUCAAAAUCAUCCGGGUGCUGUUGAAACAGAAGUUUGGCGAUCACCUCAGCGACACGGUGAUCACGGAGAAGAUACAGAACGUGCAGAAAGCCCUGAGGCAGAAGUUUAAGACAGAAUGUCUCUGA